GCCAAUGUGAGCUGGAGGGGUCGGUGCCUGUGGGCGAGAGCCGUGCGGAGCCGCUUGCGUGCCUUUGCCUUGGAGCCAGACCUGUCGCUGGCCGCUUCCAGGGCGCAGAACUGUCAGCAGUCCCAAGACAGACAGGAAGCCUUCCUUAGCACUCCUGCGUGACUGACUGGGAGCCGCCCGAGGAGCUGGCAUCCAAAUGACCGGCUGAGAACAAGGGCACCAUUUACCUUUGUAGUGAGUUUUGAGCAGAAUUACAAUCAAGUUCUGGAAAAUCCAAAGUGCUUCAGUACGAACGAACACUUUUCACUUCGGGGCGUUGAAGGUGAGUUUCUUUUAUUUGGCUGACAUGAGAUGCAAAUUGCUGAGGAUCACACAACAUGGUUUCAGCUACAAUAAAUUCUCAAGACCUGUGGAGUGGGGAGAGAAUGCCUGGAGUAAAUCUUUUUUCCUUGAUCAAAGACAGAUAAACAGAUGCCUCGGCGGUAGGGCUAGGGGCCAUCCUUUUCCAGAUGGUGGGGGAGGAAGAGCACCGAAUCCUGUACCUCAGAAACUCCUCUCUGGGGAGCAGCUGUACGCCACCGUCCAAAAGGGCACUAGCGGAGCCGUCAACACCCAAGAAUAGGGGGCAGGGGCGGUGCCCUGACCCUCACACCAAGGAAAAGUGUGGGACCCACCACAAUAGCGUCGGCCAUUUGCCACAGGGACCAACUUCAGUUGUUGAGAGAGAGAAGCUUUCAAGCUACAUGGAGCUUAUUGGUCGUUUGUAUCCCAAAUGGAAAUUGCCAGCAUGUAAACCCUCCCUUUCACGAGUGUUUUGGGAGACUGCAGUCACUAUAUAGUUAUUCUUUGUUUCAUAUUUAACAUUGUUUAUAUGAAACAAUCAAUGGAGAACAUACAAAUGGAAUUUGAGUGUUUGAGAUACUGUUACCCCUCUCCUUCUUUUUCUUUUUUUUUCUCCUUAUUAGUGUUAUCUCAGAUAAACUGACCUCCAACAGCCCAGGUUACUGGAGAUGCCUAGCGGUAGAAUCCCUGCUCACAUAUCUGAACUGUGAAACAUUCAGUCUCCACUUUUUCAUGUGGAAUGAAUGAAAUGAAUUUCCUGUGAUAUCUUGACAAGGUAUUUUGGAUUGUCUCUUCUGCACUGUAAAUCAAAUGAACCAUCCCUUCAAGAAGACAGUGAUUCAGUGGACAGGGCAUGGGCUUGGGGGUCAGGAGACCUUUUGGUUCUAUGCCUGGCUCUCAGUGAUGUGAAGCAACCUGAAGCAAGUCAUUUCACUUCUCAGUUCCCCAACUAUCAGAAGAGGUAUCAAAGAAACCUCAUAGAGUGAGAAUUGGACAGUGCGGUGUCUUUGUGGAGUGUUUGGUCGGUGACUUCAACUCUCUGUUUCCACUUGUGGCAUUUGAAAUUGCUGUCAAGUUCGCUGUCUGGGUUACCUUGGAAGCAAGUGGAUGUAAAUGUUAAUAAGAUGCUAAUGAGAAUAAGCAGACCUGAGAGAACAACCUAUGAAAAGCAGAGCAUCUCAAGAUUCAUAAGGUGUGGAAGUACGGAUAAGGAAAGGAGGGUUGAAACCUUCAUGCAUAUGCAUAAGGUAUAGGCAUGGUCAUAACAGGAUGAAAAAAGUUCCAUGGUUAAGCUAAAGUGGGAGGACCUCAUCGGGAUGAUCCCAACAGGAACCACCCCUCUCUCAUGAAAUCCACCCAACUCUAUAAAAUCUUUGGAUAUACGCUAAAGUCUGCAUCACAUGGGCAGAAGUGCAUACCCAGCUACUGAGAGAAGUUCAUCAAGUCCAAGAAAAAACCUGCCACCAUAAGCUGAGAUGAAUCCCAUCACACCAGCCCAACACAUGAUACUUGUUUUUGCAAAUUUGCUCAGAAGCAACUUCCAUAUAUCUGUUGCUGGCAUCAUGGUUGUAUUCAUGUUUUGCAAUUUUCAUGAUGAUCCAUGUUCUCUUUCCACAGCCAGAGUUGGUUUGCAUAGUCUGUCUUGUAAUCUACAUAUAAUGUGGUGGGAGAAUACCACAUUUUGCCUCAUACCAUGAGCAGCACCACUUAUUGUGCUAACUUGUCUUAUUCCUUGCACAGCUGUAUAAAUGGAGGUAGGAGAGCUAUGAUUUUAUUUAUGUAGCCAUUUCCUCUUUAACUCUUGAGCAUUUGCUGCUUGAUUUUGUUUACAUAAAAUUUCUGUGGAUUC